ACAACUAGCGUAGUUUCUGUCAUGUCGAAACGAUGCCCGUAUUUUUACCCUUGUAGUUUACUUUAUUCAGAGUUCCGUAAGCUAAGCGUGGCCACGGAUGUGAACAAGUGGCAAAAAUAUUAUGUUUACAAUAGGCCUACUUGAGUCUAGCAGUUCUCAACAUUGUGGAAAAUAGGACUAGGAGACAAAAAGCUUUAUUGAAAUUUGAUCAGCAACAUUUUAUGCAGUUUUCAACACUCGUAAUCAUGGUACCAGCCAUACUGUGGAAAUCUAUGAAUGGCACAUGUCAUCAUUGACUCAUGCUACCACAAUGGUUAUUCCAGUUGGACUCAACACUCGACUCCUGGGAAGAUAGACUAAAAAUGUAAUCGUUGACAAUGAGCCACAACUACUCGCAAAAGUGUUAUGAAAAAGUGGACCAACGUUCGGGAUUCAUUUCAUAAAAGCGAAAGGAAGAACACUUCUUCCUUUAAAUCAAGAUAUGGAAAACAGACAACUUCAACAUACAUUUACGGACAUGAAUUACAGUUUUUAAAGAAAGCGUCCUGCGGAUGUCCUACUGAACUCAGUAUGCCAGUCGUUAAUGAAGAGUCCGCUGAUUCUGACUGUAUCACUGACUCUUGCAGUGAGGAAGACAGUGAAGAGAAGGAAACAGUCACAAAAAAUAAGAGAAAGCAUAAACAAGAUACCGUGGAACAGCGGAUGGUGGACGUUUCUAAACAACAUUCAGAUCGCCAUAUAUCGUUUUUCAGAGGUAUAAUUCCAUCUUUAGAAACAUUCGACGAUGAUGAGAUAGUAGAAUUUCAGCUAAAUGUUCUUCAGAUCAUUGCAAACAUUAAAAAACGGAAAAGGACAUCAACAAAUAUUAAUGAAGCUAUAAACGUUUCCCAGCAUCGACAGGCACAAAGCCCGUCUCUACCUGUUCAUUCCUCUUGCCAGGACCUUCAGCAUGCCUUCAACCCUGCCGAUGAGCAGACAUCUCCAGGAACUGAAACCACCCUGUAUUGUGACAAUGUUGAACAGAAAUGUUCACGACCGCCUUCCAGCCCACCCAGUGCAUCAGACAAUUUAGAAAAUUCGUGAUUCAUAUGGUUUUACUAUUAUGUUAACAACAAAACCUACACUUAUUUGAAACCUUUUGUGAUGCUCUUUUCUUCUUUAGCAACAUUAAAUUAUAAACCUAUGAUAAAGCU